rnacentral:rRNA from 1 species
GAGUUUGAUCCUGGCUCAGAUUGAACGCUGGCGGUAGGCUUAACACAUGCAAGUCGUGCGAGAAAGUAUCUUCGGAUAUGAGUAGAGCGGCGGACGGGUGAGUAACGCGUAGGAAUCUACCUAGUAGAAGGGGAUAGCCCGGGGAAACCCGGAUUAAUACCGUAUACCUCCUUCGGGAGAAAGAAGGCCUCUCUUUGAAGCUUUCGCUAUUAGAUGAGCCUGCGUAAGAUUAGCUUGUUGGUGAGGUAAAGGCUCACCAAGGCGACGAUCUUUAGCUGGUCUGAGAGGACGAUCAGCCACAUUGGGACUGAGACACGGCCCAGACUCCUACGGGAGGCAGCAGUGGGGAAUAUUGGACAAUGGGCGCAAGCCUGAUCCAGCCAUACCGCGUGUGUGAAGAAGGCCUUCGGGUUGUAAAGCACUUUAAGCAGGGAGAAAAAGUUAUAAGUUAAUACCUUAUAACCGUGAUGUUACCUGCAGAAUAAGCACCGGCUAA